rnacentral:rRNA from 1 species
UACGUAGGGUGCAGGCGUUUAAUCGGAAUUACUGGGCGUAAAGCGUGCGCAGGCGGUCUGCUAAGAGAGAUGUGAAAUCCCCCAGGCUUAACCUGGGAACUGCAUCUGAUACUGGAUGGCUUGAGUUCGGGAGAGGGAUGCGGAAUUCCAGGUGUAGCGGUGAAAUUCGUAGAUAUUCGGAGGAACACCAGUGGCGAAGGCGGCUCACUGGCUCGAUACUGACGCUGAGGUGCGAAAGCGUGGGGAGCGAACAGG